CCCUACUAUGCCUAACCAUAACAAGACAAUCAAACCACCUAUUGUCCGCCAAAUAACUACGAGUACAAACUUAAAAUUUAAAAGACUUGACGGUACCUCAUAUCAACCUAGAGGAGCCUGUCAAUAACCGAUACCCCACGAUUAACCCCACCCACUCUAGCCGAACAGUCUAUAUACCGCCGUCGCCAGCUCACCUUAUGAAAGAAACAAAGUGGGCCAAAUAACCCCCAUUAACACGACAGGUCGAGGUGUAACUUAUGAGUGGGCCCAAGAUGGGCUACAUUUUCUAACACAGAAAACACGAAUCAAACUAUGAAACAAGAAACUGAAGGCGGAUUUAGCAGUAUACUAAGAACAAAAUACCUAGUCGAAACCAACGCAAUGAGGUGCGUACACACCGCCCGUCAUCCCUGUCAACAACCAUAAAACAUUAAUAAACAAAGCACCAACCCAAAACA
rnacentral:rRNA from 1 species